ACAACAUACCUGGAUGUCAAACAACCACUGCAGCUUCCUGUCUUUGUUGUCACUACUGGAAAUAUCCUGAUUAGUUAUAUAUCA